AGUGAACGCUGGCGGUAGGCCUAACACAUGCAAGUCGAACGGCAGCACAGUAAGAGCUUGCUCUUACGGGUGGCGAGUGGCGGACGGGUGAGGAAUACAUCGGAAUCUACUUUUUCGUGGGGGAUAACGUAGGGAAACUUACGCUAAUACCGCAUACGACCUACGGGUGAAAGCAGGGGAUCUUCGGACCUUGCGCGAUUGAAUGGGCCGAUGUCGGAUUAGCUAGUUGGCGGGGUAAAGGCCCACCAAGGCGACGAUCCGUAGCUGGUCUGAGAGGAUGAUCAGCCACACUGGAACUGAGACACGGUCCAGACUCCUACGGGAGGCAGCAGUGGGGAAUAUUGGACAAUGGGCGCAAGCCUGAUCCAGCCAUACCGCGUGAGUGAAGAAGGCCUUCGGGUUGUAAAGCCCUUUUGUUGGGAAAGAAAAGCAGCAGGUUAAUACCCCGCUGUUCUGACGGUACCCAAAGAAUAAGCACCGGCUAACUUCGUG
rnacentral:rRNA from 1 species